GGAUGUGAGGGCGAUCUGGCUGCAACAUCUGUCACCUGUUGAUCGCCAGGGUUGAUUGGCUGAUCUGGCUGGCUACACGGUAUCCCCUUCCUCCCUCACCACUCAAUGUGUGUCUCUCCCCGAAGCUGCAUGCUGGAUUGAAGAGAACUCACAGUAGAGGAGGACCUUUUUCUCAGUCAAGGAUAUAGGAGUAGCUGCUCUCCCCUGCUAAAACUGCCAAACAAGCUCUGAAUGGGACUCUGAUGGCAAAGGAAAUAAUAGCAAGAAUCAACAAAUAGGACUAUGUCAAAUUUAAAGGUGGCUUAAAUUUUU
rnacentral:snRNA from 1 species